GUCGGGAUAGUGUAAUGGUAUCAUGCCGAGCUGUCUACUCGGCGAUGCGGAUUCGAUUUCCGCUCUCGACG
rnacentral:tRNA from 1 species